AAAGAUUAAGUCAUGCAUGUCUAAGUACAUGCCGAAACAAGGCGAAACCGCGAAUGGCUCAUUAAAUCAGUUAUGGCUCCUUAGAUCGUUUCUUUCUACUUGGACAACUGUGGCAAUUCUAGAGCUAAUACAUGCAUUGAGCUUAGAGGCCUCUGGCUGACGGGCGGCUUUUAUUAGACCAAGAUCAAUCGGGUAUUCCCCGAACACUGUGGUGACUCUGGAUAACUUUGUGCAGAUCGCACGGCAUGAGCCGGCGACGUUUCUUUCAAGUGUCUGCAUUAUCAACUUUUGAUGGUAGGUUACUUGCCUACCAUGGUUGUUAGGGGUAACGGAGAAUCAGGGUUCGAUUCCAGAGAGGGAGCAUGAGAAACGGCUGCCACAUCCAAGGAAGGCAGCAGGCGCGCAAAUUACCCACUCCCGGCACGGGCAGGUAGUGACGAAAAAUAACAAUACGGGACUCUUUUGAGGCCCCGUAAUUUAAAUGAGUACAGUCUAAAUCCUUUAACGAGGAUCAAUUGGAGGGCGUCUGGUGCCAGCAACCGCGGUAAUUCCAGCUCCAAUUGCAUAUACUAAAGCUGCUGCGGUUAAAAAGCUCAUAGUUGGAUCUCAGUUUCAGACGAGUAGUGCAUCUACCCGAUGCGACGGCUCGGACUGGACAUCAUGCCGGUCUUCUCUUGGUGCCCUUCAUUGGUGUGUCUCGAGAUGACCCGCGCUUUUACUUUGAAAAAAUUAGAGUGAUCAACACAGGCGAGUCGCCUGAAUAAACUUGCAUGGAAUAAUAGAACAACAGCCUGUUUCUCUUUCUGUUGUGUUUUUAGAAUACGGGCUAUUGAUUAAGAGGGACAGACGGGGGCAUUCGUAUUGCGGCGCUAGAGGUGAAAUUCUUGGACCGUCGCAAGACGAGCUACUGCGGAAGCAUUUGCCAAGAAUGUUUUCUUUGAUCAAGAACGAAAGUCAGAGGUUCAAAGGCGAUCAGAUACCGCCCUAGUUCUGACCAUAAACGAUGGCAACCAGCGAUCCGCUUGAGUUACUCAAAUGACUCGGCGGACAGCUUCCGGGAAACCAAAGUAUUUGGGUUCCGGGGGAAGUAUGGUUGCAAAGCUGAAACUUAAAGGAAUUGACGGAAGGGCACCACCAGGAGUGGAGCCUGCGGCUUAAUUUGACUCAACACGGGAAAACUUACCCGGCCCGGACACUGGGAGGAUUGACAGAUUGAGAGCUCUUUCUUGAUUCUGUGGAUGGUGGUGCAUGGCCGUUCUUAGUUGGUGGAGCGAUUUGUCUGGUUAAUUCCAAUAACGAACGAGACUCUAGGCUAUUAAAUAGGUGCGAUUUUUCCCAGCACCUUAAAACCUUCUUAGAGGGACAAGCGGCUCCUAGCCGCACGAAACAGAGCAAUAACAGGUCUGUGAUGCCCUUAGAUGUCCGGGGCCGCACGCGCGCUACACUGAAGGAAGCAGCGUGUCUUUAUCCCUGUCUGAAAAGACUGGGUAACCCGUGGAACUUCUUUCGUGAUUGGGAUAGGAGCUUGCAAUUGUUCCAACUGAACGAGUAAUUCCCAGUAAGCGCGAGUCAUAAGCUCGCGUUGAUUACGUCCCUGCCCUUUGUACACGCCGCCCAUCGCUACUACCGAUUGAAUGAUUUAGUGAGGUCUUCGGACCGAUGUCCGGCGUGGCCUUUCGGUUGCGCCGGUCUGUUGGAAAGAUGACCAAACUUGAUCAUUUAGAGGAAGUAAAAGUCGUAACAAGGUUUGCGUAGGUGA
rnacentral:rRNA from 1 species